AAACCGCGAUGAGGACAUCUUCUUAGGAGAUCCUUGAAUCUUUCAUGUGCUUCAAAGAGUGUCUCAGAAUCCCCCUGCCUAAAGGCUAAAAUCUCUUGCCUCAGUCU